GGCAUAUAGUAUUUAAUUGAUUAGGUUAAUUAGGUAUCUUAUGGUGUAAUUGAAUGUAUUUACAACAAAAGGAAAAUGACUGUGGUACAACGAGUAUCUAGUUACGGUAAAAUUCUAAACGACGUUUUAUUAGUCCUAUACAAGUAGAGUUAAUGAAACUUGUAGCUAUUUUUAUUUUUUUAGAUACGCAAUUAUAAACACAAAAAUAAUAUAAAAGAUUACCACUUCAGUGUUGCCCAUUGUAGAAUUACCAACAAAUGUAAAACAAAAC
rnacentral:lncRNA from 1 species